rnacentral:rRNA from 1 species
CUGGUUGAUCCUGCCAGUAGUCAUAUGCUUGUCUCAAAGAUUAAGCCAUGCAUGUCUAAGUCCAAGCUGUGUUCACACGGCGAGACCGCGGACGGCUCAUUAAAUCAGUCGUGGUCCAAAUGGGCCAGUGCAAAUCCUACUUGGAUAACUGUGGUAAUUCCAGAGCUAAUACAUGCAACUUAUAUCCCGAAGGCGAUGGUUGUGCUUGCUUGUCUUGCGCUCUCACUGCUCUGACGGAUGCUUUUAUUAGACCAAACCGCUGAGGACUUGGGGGUUCGCUCUCUUGUCUGACUCGUUAUAUGGUGACUCUGGAUAACCAAAUUAUGACAAGCGCACGUACUUCUCUUCUGAGCGAGACGGCGCUGCCACUUUCGAGUGUCUGCCUUAUCAGCUAUCAACCGUUCGUUAUGCGCGACCGAUGGCUUUGACGGGUAACGGGGAAUCAGGGUUCGAUUCCGGAGAGGCAGCCUGAGAGACGGCUACCACGUCCAAGGACGGCAGCAGGCACGCAAAUUACCCAAUCCCAGCAAAUGGGGGAGGUAGUGACGAAAUCUAACGAUGCGGGCGCCCUUUCUGGGGCCCCGCAAUCGGAAUGGGCACUUUCUAAACAACCUGUUGAGAACCUACUGAAGGGCAAGUCUGGUGCCAGCAGCCGCGGUAAUUCCAGCUUCAGCAGCAUCUAUUAAAGUUGCUGCGGUUAAAAGGCUCGCAGUUGAAUGUCUGUAUCGAGCGCAGGUCAGGUGGACGUU